rfam:Trichobilharzia regenti genome assembly, scaffold: TRE_scaffold0010520
GUACUGCUGAAGAGUCCCAAACUAGGACGAAACAGCUAUCCAGUAC